CACGUAGGGUGCGAGCGUUGUCCGGAAUUAUUGGGCGUAAAGAGCUCGUAGGCGGUGUGUCGCGUCGGCCGUGAAAACCUGCAGCUUAACUGUGGGCUUGCGGUCGAUACGGGCAGGCUGGAGUUCGGUAGGGGAGACUGGAAUUCCUGGUGUAGCGGUGAAAUGCGCAGAUAUCAGGAGGAACACCGGUGGCGAAGGCGGCCUUCUGGACAGUGACUGACGCUGAGACGCGAAAGCGUGGGGAGCAAACAGG
rnacentral:rRNA from 1 species